CGGGAAAAGCUCAAAUUUAAAAUCUGGUGGCCCUUCCGCCAUCCGAGUUGUAAUUUAGAGAAGCGUCUUCCGCGCUGGACCGUGCAUAAGUCUCCUGGAACGGAGCGUCAUAGAGGGUGAGAAUCCCGUC
rnacentral:rRNA from 1 species